GACGAACGCUGGCGGCGUGCUUAACACAUGCAAGUCGAACGGUGAAGCGCCUUCCUUUUUGGUGGGUGUGGAUGAGUGGCGAACGGGUGAGUAACACGUGAGUAACCUGCCCCCUUCUUCUGGAUAACCGCAUGAAAGUGUGGCUAAUACGGGAUAUUCUGGGUCUGUCGCAUGAUGGGUCUGGGAAAGAUAUUGUUUCGGUGGGGGAUGGGCUCGCGGCCUAUCAGCUUGUUGGUGGGGUGAUGGCCUACCAAGGCGGUGACGGGUAGCCGGCCUGAGAGGGUGGACGGUCACACUGGGACGGAGACACGGCCCAGACUCCUACGGGAGGCAGCAGUGGGGAAUAUUGCACAAUGGGCGCAAGCCUGAUGCAGCGACGCCGCGUGAGGGAUGGAGGCCUGCGGGUUGUGAACCUCUUUCGCCAGUGAAGCAGGCCUGCCUCGUUUGUGGGUGGGUUGAUGGUAGCUGGAUAAGAAGCGCCGGCUAACUACGUG
rnacentral:rRNA from 1 species